CAAUGCAAAGUAGUUACAAGCAAACAACCAACCUUCCACCUCCAUCAACUAUCUCGAUUUAUGUGUUUUUGUAUGUAUCCAGGAUCGCUUAUUAUUUUGAUCUUGAAUAGAGGAGACCAAUCCAAUCAAUUGUAAGGGUAUCUAUAUAUACCCUUAUCCAGGGGCUGGUGAGCUCCGGCAAGAAAGGGAUAACCUCAGGACAGGUUUGGAUUGUUAGAGCUAAAUCGACUCAUAUUUGAAACUAGGCAAUUCUCUAGCUCUUGGGCAUCUGGCUGAACUUGGUUAGAAAACUCGCUCUCAUCAUGUUAUAAAUUCAAAUCACAUUCAACUAGGCAGCAUGUUCA
rnacentral:sRNA from 2 species